GCUCGCCUCGCCAUCGAUCUCCCCGGUCGGUUCCUAGACCUUGCACUCUUUUCCUUUUUCUCCUUCUUCUUCUUUCCCUGGAAGCGUUAAACUCGUUUUCAUCCCAAAAUUUCCUCAGCCACAGCCAAGGCCAGCUGUGUAGCCGAUUCGUCGUCGUCGUCCCUCUGCUGCUGCACCACAGCACCGCAGGAACACCUCUCAUCGGAACACGUUUUGACGCACUCACCUGCCCGCGUUCGCCACCGGAGCUGCCACUUCCAUGCCCGGUGUCACCAUAGCUCCCGAUCUGGAACUCGCGUUCCGAUGGUGUUGAAGAUUCCACCGGACUCACAGGAACUGAAGUGGACCUAGAAGGCUACGCUGAAGCUUCGGAAGGCCACCUUCCACAAGGCAAGCCACAGUUCCAAUCUUUGAUCAUAUUGAAACCUAGUAGAGAACCACUUAGUUAUUUUAUAUAAAUUAUUUUGCGUAUAAAUUAUUUUUGAAUAAACUUAUUAGUUUAGUUAUUACCCAUUAUUACAUUGUUAUUAUUGGCCAAAUCCAUGAAUUGCUAUAUCACGCCCCUUUGAUAACCUAGUGGAUAAGACCACCAAAUAUCUAUAUUCAUAUACAUAGUUUACCCGUCGUCACGUGGUGGCGUGACGGGUGAUAUAAAAUAUGUUAUUUGAUAUAAGUCACUCGCCUAGAGUGAUAUGGAAGAUUAAUUCCGGGUGACGAUGGAUGUUGUGGUGUGUGAGACCGUGCAUGUUUGUCACGCCUUGAAGUUUCCCCCUCUCCUUGCUUUAAAAAUUGGCUAAAUAAAUUGCUCGAAGAAAUUGUUUAAAUUAACCUAGAGCUAAAUCCCUAAUUAAUAAAUGCAUUUAAUAAUCAAAUUCGGCAUGGUGGAAUUUUUCUUGGG